rnacentral:rRNA from 1 species
GACGAACGCUGGCGGCGUGCUUAACACAUGCAAGUCGAACGGAAAGGCCCUGCUUUUGUGGGGUGCUCGAGUGGCGAACGGGUGAGUAACACGUGAGUAACCUGCCCUUGACUUUGGGAUAACUUCAGGAAACUGGGGCUAAUACCGGAUAGGAGCUCCUGCUGCAUGGUGGGGGUUGGAAAGUUUCGGCGGUUGGGGAUGGACUCGCGGCUUAUCAGCUUGUUGGGGGGGUAGUGGCUUACCAAGGCUUUGACGGGUAGCCGGCCUGAGAGGGUGACCAGCCACAUUGGGACUGAGAUACGGCCCAGACUCCUACGGGAGGCAGCAGUGGGGAAUAUUGCACAAUGGGCGGAAGCCUGAUGCAGCAACGCCGCGUGCGGGAUGACGGCCUUCGGGUUGUAAACCGCUUUCGCCUGUGACGAAGCGUGAGUGACGGUAAUGGGUAAAGAAGCACCGGCUAACUACGUG